rnacentral:rRNA from 1 species
CUACCAGGGUAUCUAAUCCUGUUUGCUCCCCUAGCUUUCGUCCCUCAGCGUCAGUUGCGAUCCAGCAAGCCGCUUUCGCCUCGGAUGUUCCUGCGGAUAUCUACGCAUUUCACCGCUACACCCGCAAUUCCACUUGCCUCUCUCGCACUCUAGCACGGCAGUUUCGGAAGCAGCCUCUGAGUUAAGCCCAGAGAUUUCACUUCCGACUUGCCACACCGCCUACGGACCCUUUACGCCCAGUAAUUCCGAGCAACGCUGGCCCCCUACGUUUUACCGCGGCUGCUGGCAC